rfam:Picea glauca, whole genome shotgun sequence.
ACGUGCCUACAUCAUAGCGUUAAUGAAACAGAUCGACCCAUUAGAACUCUGCAGAUAAUCACGCUCAGGCUAGAUUAGUACUGGGAUGGGUGACCGCCCAGGAAGUCCUAGUGUUUUACAUGCC